UUCAGGAUGUAUGGCCAUGUUCCAGAAGUAAUCUCAAGUCAGUCCGCAAUCCAGGAAGGGAGAAAGACACACUCACGAGAAGUCAGUCCAAGUCGAAGAUCCACAGGUUUUUAAAGCUUUUGAUAUAUGAAGCAACACAUGGAGUGCUGACCAGGAAGGGAAAAUCAAAUCAAAUUUUUUUCCCAGUGCCAGUAAAAAGUGAUUGAAGC
rnacentral:lncRNA from 11 species